GACUUGUUUGAAUCAAAGCCAAAAGCUUUUAAUCAGUGGGUGUUGGAAGAGACUACCUAAGACUCGUACAGUGGUGGAAGAUGAGUUUUGGAAUGGAAAAGGAAUGGAAUGGAACAUGAUUUCAUUAACUGAAGCUUACCAGAAUGCAGUUUUUUUUCUGAUUAGGAAGAAGAUGAAAGAAGCCAUCAGCAGGAGCACUAACUCAUUUAGA